rnacentral:rRNA from 1 species
GGGGAAUAUUGGACAAUGGGGGCAACCCUGAUCCAGCAAUGCCGCGUGUGUGAAGAAGGUCUUCGGAUUGUAAAGCACUUUCGACGGGGACGAUGAUGACGGUACCCGUAGAAGAAGCCCCGGCUAACUUCGUGCCAGCAGCCGCGGUAAUACGAAGGGGGCUAGCGUUGCUCGGAAUGACUGGGCGUAAAGGGCGUGUAGGCGGUUUACACAGUCAGAUGUGAAAUCCCCGGGCUUAACCU